GACGAACGCUGGCGGCGUGCCUAAUACAUGCAAGUUGAGCGCUGAAGGUUGGUACUUGUACCAACUGGAUGAGCAGCGAACGGGUGAGUAACGCGUGGGGAAUCUGCCUUUGAGCGGGGGACAACAUUUGGAAACGAAUGCUAAUACCGCAUAAAAACUUUAAACACAAGUUUUAAGUUUGAAAGAUGCAAUUGCAUCACUCAAAGAUGAUCCCGCGUUGUAUUAGCUAGUUGGUUAGGUAACGGCUCACCAAGGCGAUGCUACAUAGCCGACCUGAGCGGGUGAUCGGCCACAUUGGGACUGAGACACGCCCCAAACUCCUACGGAAGGCAGCAGUAGGGAAUCUUCGGCAAGGGACGAAAGUCUGACCGAGCAACGCCGCGUGAGUGAAGAAGGUUUUCGGAUCGUAAAACUCUGUUUGUAGAUAAGAACGUGGGUGAGAGUGGAAAGCUCAUCAAGUGACGGUAACUACCCAGAAAGGGACGGCUAACUACGUG
rnacentral:rRNA from 1 species